rnacentral:rRNA from 1 species
UACGUAGGGGGCAAGCGUUGUCCGGAAUCAUUGGGCGUAAAGCGCGUGUAGGCGGCUCGGUAAGUCCGCUCUGAAAGUCCAGGGCUCAACCCUGGGAUGCGGGUGGAUACUGUCGGGCUCGAGUCCGGAAGAGGCGAGUGGAAUUCCCGGUGUAGCGGUGAAAUGCGCAGAUAUCCGGGAGGAACACCAAUGGCGAAGGCAGCUCGCUGGGACGUGACUGGACGCUGAGACGCGAAAGCGUGGGGAGCAACAGG